UCACUGUCCUCAUGAUGAUCUUAUGAUCGGGAGUAUUUAAGAAUUAAAUACAUAUCUCUAAUUUUCCAUACUUUGAGAAUAUAUAUCGAAACUAAUUUCAUGGAUGAUUCAAGGAUACAUCACACUUGAAUGAAAAAAAAAUACUCUUUUAUUAAUCAUAUCAAUAUAUUAAGUACAAAAUUAUAUCCUAGAUUUAUUACAAUGUGUCAGCC
rnacentral:lncRNA from 1 species